rnacentral:rRNA from 1 species
ACGCUGGCGGCGUGCCUAAUACAUGCAAGUAGAACGCUGAAGGAGGAGCUUGCUUCUCCGGAUGAGUUGCGAACGGGUGAGUAACGCGUAGGUAACCUGCCUGGUAGCGGGGGAUAACUAUUGGAAACGAUAGCUAAUACCGCAUAAGAGUAGAUGUUGCAUGACAUUUGCUUAAAAGGUGCAAUUGCAUCACUACCAGAUGGACCUGCGUUGUAUUAGCUAGUUGGUGGGGUAACGGCUCACCAAGGCGACGAUACAUAGCCGACCUGAGAGGGUGAUCGGCCACACUGGGACUGAGGCACGGCCCAGACUCCUACGGGAGGCAGCAGUAGGGAAUCUUCGGCAAUGGACGGAAGUCUGACCGAGCAACGCCGCGUGAGUGAAGAAGGUUUUCGGAUCGUAAAGCUCUGUUGUAAGAGAAGAACGAGUGUGAGAGUGGAAAGUUCACACUGUGACGGUAUCUUACCAGAAAGGGACGGCUAACUACGUGCCAGCAGCCGCGGUAAUACGUAGGUCCCGAGCGUUGUCCGGAUUUAUUGGGCGUAAAGCGAGCGCAGGCGGUUAGAUAAGUCUGAAGUUAAAGGCUGUGGCUUAACCAUAGUACGCUUUGGAAACUGUUUAACUUGAGUGCAAGAGGGGAGAGUGGAAUUCCAUGUGUAGCGGUGAAAUGCGUAGAUAUAUGGAGGAACACCGGUGGCGAAAGCGGCUCUCUGGCUUGUAACUGACGCUGAGGCUCGAAAGCGUGGGGAGCAAACAGGAUUAGAUACCCUGGUAGUCCACGCCGUAAACGAUGAGUGCUAGGUGUUAGACCCUUUCCGGGGUUUAGUGCCGCAGCUAACGCAUUAAGCACUCCGCCUGGGGAGUACGACCGCAAGGUUGAAACUCAAAGGAAUUGACGGGGGCCCG